AUUGAACGCUGGCGGAAUGCUUUACACAUGCAAGUCGAACGGUAACGCGGGGCAACCUGGCGACGAGUGGCGAACGGGUGAGUAAUGUAUCGGAACGUGCCCAGUAGUGGGGGAUAGCCCGGCGAAAGCCGGAUUAAUACCGCAUGAGACCUGAGGGUGAAAGCGGGGGAUCGCAAGACCUCGCGCUAUUGGAGCGGCCGAUAUCAGAUUAGGUAGUUGGUGGGGUAAAAGCCUACCAAGCCGACGAUCUGUAGCUGGUCUGAGAGGACGACCAGCCACACUGGGACUGAGACACGGCCCAGACUCCUACGGGAGGCAGCAGUGGGGAAUUUUGGACAAUGGGCGCAAGCCUGAUCCAGCCAUGCCGCGUGUGUGAUGAAGGCCUUAGGGUUGUAAAGCACUUUCACCGAUGAAGAUAAUGACGGUAGUCGGAGAAGAAGCCCCGGCUAACUUCGUGCCAGCAGCCGCGGUAAGAGUACUCUAU
rnacentral:rRNA from 1 species